rnacentral:rRNA from 1 species
GGGGUAAACAGGACACUACCAAGCCUACGAUCUAUAGCUGGUUUGAGAGGAUGAUCAGCAACACUGGGACUGAGACACGGCCCAGACUCCUACGGGAGGCAGCAGUGGGGAAUCUUAAGACAAUAGGGAAACCCUGAUCUAGCCAUGCCGCGUGAGUGAUGAAGGCCUUAGGGUCGUAAAGCUCUUUCGCCUGUGAAUGACAGUAGCAGGCAAAGAACCCCAAA